rnacentral:rRNA from 1 species
GACGGAGGAUGCAAGCGUUAUCCGGAAUUAUUGGGCGUAAAGCGUCUGUAGGUGGUCAAAUAAGUCAACUGUUAAAUCUUGAGGCUCAACCUCAAAAUCGCAGUCGAAACUAUUAGACUAGAGUAUAGUAGGGGUAAAGGGAAUUUCCAGUGGAGCGGUGAAAUGCGUAGAGAUUGGAAAGAACACCGAUGGCGAAGGCACUUUACUGGGCUAUUACUAACACUCAGAGACGAAAGCUAGGGUAGCAAAUGGG